CAAAGGUUAAUUCCGGUGGCGGAUGGGCAUGCGCCGCAUUAGUUAGUUGGCGGUGUAACGGACCACCAAGACGACGAUGCGUAGGGGUUCUGAGAGGAAGGUCCCCCACACUGGUACUGAGACACGGACCAGACUCCUACGGGAGGCAGCAGUGAGGAAUAUUGGUCAAUGGGCGGGAGCCUGAACCAGCCAAGUCGCGUGAGGGAUGACGGCCCUAUGGGUUGUAAACCUCUUUUGCCGGGGAGCAAAGUGCCGCACGUGUGCGGUUUGGAGAGUACCCGGAGAAAAAGCAUCGGCUAACUCCGUGCCAGCAGCCGCGGUAAUACGGAGGAUGCGAGCGUUAUCCGGAUUUAUUGGGUUUAAAGGGUGCGUAGGCGGACGCUUAAGUCAGCGGUAAAAUUGCGGGGCUCAACCUCGUCGAGCCGUUGAAACUGGGUGCCUUGAGUGGGCGAGAAGUACGCGGAAUGCGUGGUGUAGCGGUGAAAUGCAUAGAUAUCACGCAGAACUCCGAUUGCGAAGGCAGCGUACCGGCGCCCAACUGACGCUGAAGCACGAAGGCGUGGGUAUCGAACAGGAUUAGAUACCCUGGUAGUCCACGCAGUAAACGAUGAAUG
rnacentral:rRNA from 1 species